UACGUAUGGAGCAAGCGUUACCCGGAUUUACUGGGUGUAAAGGGAGCGUAGACGGUGUGCCAAGUCUGAUGUGAAAGGUGAGGGCUCAACCCUUAAACUGCAUUGGAAACUGGUGUACCUGUGUGUCGGAGAGGUAGUGGAAUUCCUAGUGUAGCGGUGAAAUGCGUAGAUAUUAGGAGGAACACCAGCGGCGAAGGCGGCUUACUGGACGACAACUGACGUUGAGGCUCGAAAGCGCGGGGAGCAAACA
rnacentral:rRNA from 1 species